UUCUUUAUCACCGAGUGCUUGCACUCACCGAUAAAGAGUUGAGUGGCGAACGGGUGAGUAACACGUGGGCAACCUGCCCAAAAGUGGGGGAUAACACUUGGAAACAGGUGCUAAUACCGCAUAACCAUAGUUACCGCAUGGUAACUAUGUAAAAGGUGGCUAUGCUACCGCUUUUGGAUGGGCCCGCGGCGCAUUAGCUAGUUGGUGGGGUAAAGGCUUACCAAGGCAAUGAUGCGUAGCCGAACUGAGAGGUUGAUCGGCCACAUUGGGACUGAGACACGGCCCAAACUCCUACGGGAGGCAGCAGUAGGGAAUCUUCCACAAUGGGCGAAAGCCUGAUGGAGCAACGCCGCGUGGGUGAAGAAGGUCUUCGGAUCGUAAAACCCUGUUGUUAGAGAAGAAAGUGCGUGAGAGUAACUGUUCACGUUUCGACGGUAUCUAACCAGAAAGCCACGGCUAACUACGUGCCAGCAGCCGCGGUAAUACGUAGGUGGCAAGCGUUAUCCGGAUUUAUUGGGCGUAAAGGGAACGCAGGCGGUCUUUUAAGUCUGAUGUGAAAGCCUUCGGCUUAACCGGAGUAGUGCAUUGGAAACUGGGAGACUUGAGUGCGGAAGAGGAGAGUGGAACUCCAUGUGUAGCGGUGAAAUGCGUAGAUAUAUGGAAGAACACCAGUGGCGAAAGCGGCUCUCUGGUCUGUA
rnacentral:rRNA from 1 species